CACAAAUAUAACUAGCUACUUGUCCUUCAAUCACGUCCAUGAUUUUAUAAACCAUCAACAUUGUGAGUUUGCUCUGGCUACUUCUGAAUCUCCGGCCAAGCAGAACAUUUUACCAGGAGGAAGCAUGAGCUAUUUAUAUAGAGGAAACUUUUAAUAGAUUAAUCUGGCCACUGGAGGUGGAUGUUGAAGUAUGUUCUUGGGAAUAACUAGUUUCCUUGGAACCAUGAUCUUGGUCAUGACUCAGCUGAGAAGCAACAAAUUUAUCAAGUACUCUCCAAUCUGUCACUUGGUCUAGGGAAUGCAGAGUUUGGUGGUGGAGAUUCUGCACCUGUAUUUCUUCUUGAGUGAGUGAUGACAACUGCAAGGUGCUUCCAUUGCUUGCAUAGACAUAAUGGACAAGUGAAGUGGGGGGUGAUUGAGUAACUUUGGGGCUUUCUAACUGGGGAAGCUGGAGGAAAUGAUCUUGGGCCAUAUUGUAUUGCAAUUGAUCCAGCUCUGCCUUGCAAUUAGGGUAUGUUGCAUAAGGGUGAUGAGGAAUUGGCCUUGGUGAUUCAAGAUCUUGCAUAAAGGAAACUUGGUCUUCAUACCAACAGUGUGACUCGUACUCCCCCAUUUUCUGUGAUGUUGUCAUUCUCUUCUUGAACACCCUGCACACCACCCACCCUUCUUCCUGCAGGAGGAAUGCUUAUAUAAAUUAAACCCUAGCCUGAUUAUUUCAACUAAAAUCUCAGAAAAAAAGAUACUCACAUUACAAGGAUAUUAUGGAUUGCAUGUAAAUUUACUCAGAAUUGUGUGUGUGAAAUAUUUCCAAUGUCUUCAAUAAAAUGAUAAAAAGAUAACUUAAUCCA